UGGGGAAUUUUGGACAAUGGGCGAAAGCCUGAUCCAGCAAUGCCGCGUGUGUGAAGAAGGCCUUCGGGUUGUAAAGCACUUUUGUCCGGAAAGAAAUCCUUGGCUCUAAUACAGUCGGGGGAUGACGGUACCGGAAGAAUAAGCACCGGCUAACUACGUGCCAGCAGCCGCGGUAAUACGUAGGGUGCAAGCGUUAUCGGAAUUACUGGGCGUAAAGCGUGCGCAGGCGGUUUGCUAAGACCGAUGUGAAAUCCCCGGGCUCAACCUGGGAACUGCAUUGGUGACUGGCAGGCUAGAGUAUGGCAGAGGGGGGUAGAAUUCCACGUGUAGCAGUGAAAUGCGUAGAGAUGUGGAGGAAUACCGAUGGCGAAGGCAGCCCCCUGGGCCAAUACUGACGCUCAUGCACGAAAGCGUGGGGAGCAAACAGGAUUAGAUACCCUGGUAGUCCACGCCCUAAAGCGAUGUCAACUAGUUGUUGGGGAUUCAUUUCCUUAGUAACGUAGCUAACGCGUGAAGUUGACCGCCUGGGGAGUACGGUCGCAAGAUUAAAA
rnacentral:rRNA from 1 species